GAUUCCAAGAGGGUGAUGGGCCCUCAGGUCCUUACUCUCUGGUUCCUGCUUCUAUGAGCGGAAGCUGGAUUUUUUCCAGAGGUCAUUCUCAUUUAACAGAAAUCACCUGGCAGAGGAUGUUAAGGAUAUUUAUUUAAAGUAUGGCCGUGUGUCACGGCGUGAUUAUACACAGUUCAGUUCUGAAGGGCAAUGCAUUGUUUCUGAUAUGAUAUUGCAACACUAGAGACUGACACCAUUGAGAGGCCGUGCUGUGCCAAAGUCCAUGAAAGCGUAUAUGGCCAUUCCCACUCCAUCUGCUUCGUUUCUAACCAGAAACGGUUCUUCAAGACUGCAUGGAUGAGAGCAAAAAGCUUUGAAGCAUUUCAGUUGCCAUCAUAUGCAAAUCUGAACAGUGGUGAGAAAGAUGCCUUCAAGCGCUAUCCACCACCUUUCUUCCUCACAUCAAUCAAGGAACAGCAUGGCUGUGUUUUCAAAUGCCAGUAUUUAUUUCCUCUUCAUUUUAAGCUUGUUUUCAUUCUUUUACAUGGCUGUUGAAUUCUGAUGAGGGGACACUGUCCAGUCCAAUCUGUUCAGCCUUCAGGUAAUUACUUGGCGUGCUUAAACUCCCAUUCCGCUGAAAUAAGACGCAGCUUUCCUGUUUCCCAUCUGCUCCAUGAUCUCAUCACCAACCGUUCGGCGCACUCUUCUGAAGUCUAUGUUCUUCGCUUAUGACAGGCUCUUACAGCGACUAAGAGUUCACAUUCCAGUACCAGACACUUCACAACAGAGUACAAAUUUUUCACCUUUUAGAAAUUUUUUUGGCCUUUACAUUACAAGGGAAUUUGUCUCAAUUCUGGACUCAUAAGAUUUAUUACAUGACUUUAAAUAUUUUGUAAGAAUAAAAUAAAACAAGAAGCUUAGUCCAGUGCUUGGUAAAUAGUAAGCAUUUAGUAGAU